ACUCAGUGAAAUUGAAAUCGCUGUGAAGAUGCAGUGUACCCGCGGCUAGACGGAAAGACCCCGUGAACCUUUACUACAGCUUGGCACUGAACAUUGAACCUACAUGUGUAGGAUAGGUGGGAGGCUACGAAGACGUGACGCUAGUUGCGUUGGAGCCGUCCUUGAAAUACCACCCUUGUAUGUUUGAUGUUCUAACUUAGACCCGUUAUCCGGGUUGAGGACAGUGCCUGGUGGGUAGUUUGACUGGGGCGGUCU
rnacentral:rRNA from 1 species